rnacentral:rRNA from 1 species
GACGAAGGGGGCUAGCGUUGUUCGGAAUUACUGGGCGUAAAGCGCGUGUAGGCGGUUGUUCAAGUCGGGUGUGAAAGCCUUGAGCUCAACUCAAGAAAUGCACUCGAUACUGGAUGACUCGAGGACCGGAGAGGAUAGUGGAAUUCCCAGUGUAGUGGUGAAAUACGUAGAGAUUGGGAAGAACACCAGUGGCGAAGGCGGCUAUCUGGAUGGUUUCCGACGCUAAGACGCGAAAGCGUGGGGAUCAAACAGG